GAUGAACGCUGGCGGCGUGCCUAAUACAUGCAAGUCGAGCGAACAGACGAGGAGCUUGCUCCUCUGACGUUAGCGGCGGACGGGUGAGUAACACGUGGAUAACCUACCUAUAAGACUGGGAUAACUUCGGGAAACCGGAGCUAAUACCGGAUAAUAUAUUGAACCUCAUGGUUCAAUAGUGAAAGACGGUUUUGCUGUCACUUAUACAUGGAUCCGCGCCGCAUUAGCAAGUUGGUAAGGUAACGGCUUACCAAGGCAACGAUGCGUAGCCGACCGGAGAGGGUGAUCGGCCACACUGGAACUGAGACGCGGUCCAGACUCCGACGGGAGGCAGCAGUAGGGAAUCUUGCGCAAUGGGCGAAAGCCUGACGGAGCAGCGCCGCGUGAGUGAUGAGGGUCUUCGGAUCGUAAAACUCUGUUAUUGUGGAAGAACAAAUGUGUAAGUAACUAUGCACGUCUUGACGGUACCUAGUCAGAAAGCCACGGCUAACUACGUG
rnacentral:rRNA from 1 species